UGCCAGCCGCCGCGGUAAUACGGGGGAUGCAAGCGUUAAUCGGAAUUACUGGGCGUAAAGCGCGCGUAGGUGGUCUGUUAAGUCGGAUGUGAAAGCCCCGGGCUCAACCUGGGAACUGCAUUCGAUACUGGCAGACUAGAGUGCGGGAGAGGGAGGUAGAAUUCCAUGUGUAGCGGUGAAAUGCGUAGAUAUGUGGAGGAAUACCAGUGGCGAAGGCGGCUCACUGGCUCGAUACUGACGCUGAGGUGCGAAAGCGUGGGGAGCAAACAGGAUUAGAUA
rnacentral:rRNA from 1 species